rnacentral:sRNA from 1 species
CAAGUUGGUAAUGAAACUCUGUAUUGCUACUUUGACAAUUGUUAGUGUUGGUGUGUUAACACAAUUCAUUUACUAUGUGGUUCUAGCGAUUCCACAUAUUCGAGAAAAGAUAAGAGAGAUAAAGAGGAAGCGAAAAGAGAAUAAGGAAAAAGGACAAACCUGAAAGCCAAAACCUAAACCCAUAGGAUAAUUAUUUAAGAAUUUAUUACAUUUUUCUUCUAGUCUGUUUUUGUUCUCUUAGCUUCGUUGCUGCUUUGUUUGCACAGUCAAAUAUAAAACUAAGUCAGCUAUCUAUAUUAAAAGAGCUUUCGAGAUCAUUUUUAAAACAUUCUAUUGCACCUAAAUUUUUAAUGUGCAA